rnacentral:rRNA from 1 species
GACAGAGGUGCCAAGCGUUAGGCGGAAUCACUGGGCUUAAAGCGUGUGUAGGCGGGUGCCUAAGUACCUUGUGAAAUCCCACGGCUCAACCGUGGAACUGCUGGGUAUACUGGGUGCCUUGGGUCAUCCAGGGGCUGCCGGAACAAAUGGUGGAGCGGUGAAAUGCGUAGAUAUCGCUUGGAACGCCAACGGUGAAAACAGGUU